rnacentral:rRNA from 1 species
UCCGCAAUGGACGAAAGUCUGACGGAGCAACGCCGCGUGAGUGAUGAAGGUUUUCGGAUCGUAAAGCUCUGUUGUUAGGGAAGAACAAGUGCCGUUCGAAUAGGGCGGCACCUUGACGGUACCUAACCAGAAAGCCACGGCUAACUACGUGCCAGCAGCCGCGGUAAUACGUAGGUGGCAAGCGUUGUCCGGAAUUAUUGGGCGUAAAGCGCGCGCAGGUGGUUCCUUAAGUCUGAUGUGAAAGCCCACGGCUCAACCGUGGAGGGUCAUUGGAAACUGGGGACUUGAGUGCAGAAGAGGAAAGUGGAAUUCCAAGUGUAGCGAUGAAAUGCGUAGAUAUUUGGAGGAACACCAGUGGCGAAGGCGACUUUCUGGUCUGUAACUGACACUGAGGCGCGAAAGCGUGGGGAGCAAACAGGAUUAGAUACCCUGGUAGUCCACGCUGUAAACGAUGAGUGCUAAGUGUUAGGGGGUUUCCGCCCCUUAGUGCUGCAGCUAACGCAUUAAGC